GCCGAAAUAGCUCAAUUGGGAGAGCGUUAGACCGAAGACCUAAAGGUCCCUGGUUCAAUCCCAGGCUUUGGCA